UACAGAGGUCCCGAGCGUUGUUCGGAUUCAUUGGGCGUAAAGGGUGCGUAGGCGGUCUUCUAAGUUUGAUGUGAAAUCCCGGGGCUCAACCCUGGAAUUGCAUUGAAUACUGGAGGACUAGAGUACCGGAGAGGAAACUGGAAUUUACGGUGUAGCAGUGAAAUGCGUAGAGAUCGUAAGGAAGACCAGUGGCGAAGGCGAGUUUCUGGGCAGUAACUGACGCUGAGGAGCGAAAGCGUGGGGAGCGAACAGG
rnacentral:rRNA from 1 species